rnacentral:rRNA from 1 species
AGAUUGAACGCUAGCGGGAUGCUUUACACAUGCAAGUCGAACGGCAGCGCGGACUUCGGUCUGGCGGCGAGUGGCGAACGGGUGAGUAAUAUAUCGGAACGUGCCCAGUAGCGGGGGAUAACUACGCGAAAGCGUGGCUAAUACCGCAUACGCCCUACGGGGGAAAGGGGGGAUCGCAAGACCUCUCACUAUUGGAGCGGCCGAUAUCAGAUUAGCUAGUUGGUGAGGUAAAGGCUCACCAAGGCGACGAUCGUGUAGCUGGUUUGAGAGGACGACCAGCCACACUGGGACUGAGACACGGCCCAGACUCCGUACGGGAGCAGCAGUGGGAAUUUGGACAAGUGGGGGAAACCUGAUCCGAGCCAUCCCGCGUGUGCGAUGAAGGUCCGUUCGGGUUAGUAA